rnacentral:SRP_RNA from 1 species
GCUGGGUGCAGUGGCUCACGCCUGUAAUCCCAGCACUUUGGGAGGCCAAGGUGGGUGGAUCAUGAGGUCAGGAGUUCGAGACCAGCCUGGCCAACAUGGUGAAACUCCAUCUCUACUAAAGAUACAAAAAAUUAGCUGGGUGUGGUGGUGUGUGCCUGUAAUCCCAGCUACUCAGGAGGCUGAAGCAGGAGAAUCACGUGAACCACCAGGCAGGGGAAUUGUGCACCACCACGCCUGGCUAGUUUUUGUAUUUUUAGUAGAGAUAGGGUUUUGCCAUGUUGGCCAGGCUGGUCUCGAACUCGUGACCUCAAGUGAUCCACCUGCCUU